rnacentral:rRNA from 1 species
UACGGAGGAUGCGAGCGUUAUCCGGAUUCAUUGGGUUUAAAGGGUGCGUAGGCGGAUUAAUAAGUCAGUGGUGAAAGCCUGCAGCUUAACUGUGGCACUGCCGUUGAUACUGUUAGUCUUGAGUAUGGUCAAGGUAGGCGGAAUGUGUAAUGUAGCGGUGAAAUGCUUAGAUAUUACACAGAACACCGAUUGCGAAGGCAGCUUACUGGGCCGUUACUGACGCUGAUGCACGAAAGCGUGGGGAGCGAACGGG